rnacentral:lncRNA from 1 species
AGAGGAAACACAGGCUCAGAUAGGAUAUAAAUUGCCCAUAUCACAAAAUUAGUAAGUGAUGGAGCUAGAAUACAAACAAGAUCUGCCUAUUUACACAAAUCAAUAAUUUUUCCUCUAUAGCAUGUUGUCAUUACAUGCCUUUGGUUUUUAAGUGAAAUGCCUACCCUUCUGUCCCCUAGUGACUUCAUCCUGUUCCCUACUUCUCAAGACUACUCCUCUUCUUGGACACUUUUUCAUAUUCCAGAACUAACCAUUCUGUUUCAUUUUUUUCUGCUCAUCAUGCAAAGUUAGCAGGGCAGCUGAAAUAAAGGAAUUCAUACUAAAAAAUGGCAUGCUCAGUUUGUAAAAUUUUCCAGAGUUAAAUAGGUAGAGUGAAAUGCGCAAUUUCUUCUUUGAAGAAAACAAUGUUGAAUUUUACUUAAAUGAAUGAUAAAUAUAAUUUUGACAUGUAUUUGUGAUCUGUAUGAGUAAUAUCAUAUCCUAUCCUGCUU